rnacentral:misc_RNA from 1 species
UUGGAGAUAUUUUGUUCUUUGCUUAGACGCCACACUUGUAACGAAUUUUUGAGGGGGGCCACUGGCGGGCACGGGCGAAGAGCCGGCGAAGGCUCCCUGCGGCCAUAGGAGGCGGGCCCGCCAAAGCAACAAUGGUCUGAUAGACAGAGGGUUGGAGGUUCGGGCCCUCGAGAGGACCCUAGACUCAGUAAUGAUCCUUCCGCAGGUUCACCUACGGAAA